CCGAUGCCCGCUAAUUGAGUAAAUUCGAGCUACGAAGCAAAAAGUCUCUAUGAUUUACUUUCAAUAUGUGGGGAAAGUAUUUGUGCGUUCUUUUAUUGUUUUAUUUUACUGUGACUGAUGGCGAUAUUUCAGUGAUCUCAGCUGUACAUGUAUGUGAUUUAUCAUGCAAAAGUCCAUCAACUCUAGAAUGUCAAAGUUUAAACUCAACAGCCAGAGGUCGAUGUUGUGUAAAAGAAAGUGAUUCAUUGUCCCCAGCUUCUGUGACUGGAAUUGAUUUAAUAGACUGUGGCUUGACAAAUAUAUCUGGACAUUUUCAUUCAAUGAGGCAUCUGUAUGUAUUGUA